UUACCUUGUCGUAAAACAGACCAAUCCAAGCUUCUUUGACGGCAAAGACAAUCCACUUCCCGAUCCUCCAUGUCCUCCGACAGCUUCUCCGACGAGACUAAUCCCAGCCUCCACCAACGAUCUUCUAUUUCUCCUGCUGGCUUGCAAUGAAUCUUCUUAGAUUUCAAAACCGAAUCUAAGAUACCUCCGAUUAGAUUAUUCUCUGAUUCUGGCGAUUUGCCACUUCCGACGAGAUACUUGUCGUGGCCUCUCUCGAAGCUUCUUCCUCAAUGUGAUUAAUACACUUUCUCUGCAGCCUCACGUCUGGUGACCAUUGAUGUUCUGAAACUUCACCAUUAAAGAUAGUGGAUCCCGGAUGUAAUUUUACGUUACAUCCUCCAAUGUCAAUAUCCGACACUGUUGGCUUCUGCAGCCUCAGAUUUCUGGCUCUACACAUGAAUAACGCAUCCGACUCCUUUGAUUUCUUGGGCUAACCUGUUGAACCAUAUGUACUCCACCUGAAACCAUUGAUCCAAUUCCCUUUCAUGGCUGCACUUCCGAGAAGAGCACAAUCUUCUCUUACAUGUCUGACUUGUACAUUUGCAGGACAAUGUCUGCCGUAAACAGUUUCUCCGAUGAACAUGCCAUGUUCUUCAACUGUCUUGUUGACCUUAGAACCUGCUUCACUUGAAUCUUUUUAUCAGCUGCUCCACCUGGAAUCAAGUUUACCUCACCACGGCUCCGGAUGCCUAAAAGGUACAAGAAGCAAUAACAAAGACAAUGAGAAGAACACUAAAGGUGGAGACUCGAACUCCCACUUUCAAUGGAGAUCAUCUUCUUCUCUCUUUGAUAUUCUCUUGUUCUCUCUACUCUCUGAAGACUCCUUAGCUCUCGUGCCAUAACGGCACCAUGCCGUGAACCUCAAUUAGGUUAGUUUCUCGUAAACGUCUUCUGUCUUCUUUUAUACGUAACUGAUGUCGGUUUAGACAAAUAGAUGGACUCCAUUCUGGACUUGGGCUAGAGAUUAAAUAACUGAGGCCCAUAACUUACACAUCUCCUUUGCCAAGCUCCAGGAUGUUUUUGUGGCAGAUUCGAAGUCUUCGCUUAUCCUCUGAGUUUACAUUGCGUCACGUGGCCGGAUUCGGGAGAAUUUAUACCACAUACGCUUGAUCAUGAUCACAUCCUUCACUUUCUUGGCAAGUGCAUACAUCUUUGAUUAUUCUGAAAGUGAACGUCCUAAGUGGUUAUUGGUGUUGUUUUCAACGAAGACUUACUGAUUGGGUUUUGUCAUACCUUCUGUCG